AUGGAAGUGUGCGCAUCGUACGAUGCGUCUGCAGAACGACUUUUUCUGUUAUUAAAAGACGAAAUUGAACUUUUGAUUGAUGCGAGUCACAGCGACAAAACUGUCGCUAGUGCGCGUAUAGCCUUAAAGUCUUUUGUGCGAUAAUUUGUGUGGCAAUCGAGAGUAUUAUAAUUCUUCUUAGGUUCAUCGAAUCGGACAAUUCCCAAUUUUAAACUGGAUAUGUGAAGUUACCUAUCCGCUGCUUAAGUGUUUGAAAAAUAAAACAUGACGGGGCUGCAGUCGAUGCGUGUGCAGACAGCGACAACAUCAUUAUUUCAUGACCGCUGGCUAGUGAAAUGGCGUCUACGUUUUCAGUACGGAUUCGCUGAUAGUAUUUCUAACUGAUGCAGCUUUGGCAUAUGCUGCUCCAAGUAUAGUUUGCUACAUUUCGAAGAUCUUAGCAACACUGUUCACGCAGUGAUAAAAUUAAAAACACUGUAUGAAGGUGCAAAAAUAUAUGAGAUAUCCAAAAUAUAUUAAUACUCGUUAUGAUAUUAAAUAGAUCUCUGUCCAAGUUUCGUUUUUUAAAUUGUAUUUACAAAAAUAGGAAUUUGUAAAUUUUCGCGUUCUACUUGUUGCUAAUGAAACGUAGAUGUACGGUAAAAUAUAGUUCUUACUACCUUCCAACAAAUCGAAUCACUUAAAGCAGUCUGCAAUUAAAGCAGGACGCGCUUUUACUCUUUGCAUUUUCAGUUUCUUCUCGCGUUAAUUUAUGUAAUUACUUAAAGGAGAAAUGCUCGAGCAAUUUCUAUUUAAGUGAAUAUUCAAUUUCCUUUAAAUUGACAGUGUUAGCCUAAACGAAGUGUUAUUAUAAAUGAAGAUAACAGUGUUAUGCUACGUGAAAAUAACAGUGUAAUUUUUUACAGUUCUUAGGAAAAAAUGUAAAAAUCCACAUCUGCUCUCCUGUUACAAAUUGUUCAAGCAACAUUUAAGUGGAUAUGGAUGAAUUAAUAUACGUUAUGUUAUUAUACGCA